GUGGCCCACAAGGAGGUUCUGGUGGUCCAUAGGGAGGUUCUGGUGGUCCCUGAGAGGUCCUGGUGCCCAUAAGGAGGUUCUGGUGGUCCAUAGGGAGGUUCUGGUGGCCCAUAAGGAGAAUCUGGUGGUCCAUGGGGGGGUUUUGGUGGUCCCUGAGAGGUCCUGGUGGCCCAUAAGGAGGUUGUGGUGGUCCCUGACAGGUAAUGGUGGCCCUUUAGGAGCUUCUGGUGGCCCAUAAGGAGGUUUUAGUGGCCCAUAAGGAGGUUUUGGUGGUCCAUAAGGAGGUUCUGGUGGCCCAUGAGAGGUCCUGAUAGCCUUUUAGGAGUUUCUGGUGGCCCUUUAGGAGGUUCUGGUGGCCCAUAAGGAGGUUUUAGUGGUUCAUAAGGAGGUUCUGGGGGUCCUUGAGAGGUAAUGGUGGCCCUUUAGGAGCUUCUGGUGGUCCCUUAGAGGUUCUGGUGGCCCAAUGGGAGGUUCUGGUGGUCCAUGGGGAGGUUCUGGUGGUCCAUAAGGAGGUUCUGGUGAUCCAUGAGAGGUUCUGGUGGUCCCUUAGAGGUUCUGGUGGCCCCUAAGGAGGUUUUAGUGGUCCAUAAGGAGGUUCUGGUGGCCCAUAAGGAGGUUUUGGUGGUCCAUAAGGAGGUUCUGGUGGCCCCUAAGGAGGUUUUAGUGGUCCAUAAGGAGGUUCUGGUGGUCCCUUAGAGGUUCUGGUGGCCCAUAAGGAGGUUCUGGUGGUCCAUGGGGAGGUUCUGGUGGUCCCUUAGAGGUUCUGGUGGUCCAUAAGGAGGUUCUGGUGGUCCAUAGGGAGGUUCUGGUGGUCCCUGAGAGGUUCUGGUGGUCCCUGAGAGGUUCUGGUGGUCCCUGAGAGGUUCUGGUGGUCCAUGAGGAGGUUCUGGUGAUCCAUGAGAGGUUCUGGUGGUCCAUGGGGAGGUUCUGGUGGCCCAUAAGGAGGUUCUGGUGACCCAUGGGGAGGUUCUGGUGGCCCAUAAGGAGGUUCUGGUGGCCCCUGAGAGGUCCUGGUGCCC